UUUGGUUAGUUACACUAGGUCAGCGGCCAAACCCUACGCAGCUAAUCCUGAGGUCUUGCCCCUGCGGACAAAGCCCUCAAAAUGACAUAAUCCUGCAUUCUGGCAUCUUCGUUUGGGUCCUUUCAUGGGAACUGGCCAGCUGUGUAGGAAUAUGAGGAUCUGAAAAGCUUCUUAUAUUGGGGUUCUUUUCAGAGGCCCCAUUACCGGCGAUCCUAAAACAGACACGAGACCAAAACAGGGAAGACAGAUGUGCCACGAUUGAAUGGCUGCCAUCGUUUUAGUUUGAGCUCCGCUGAGGAUGACUAUGUGUCUCCAGACGGAAGUGCAGAGUGCGGAGCCUCCUGCUUGUUCGAAGCCAGUUUCUUUCAAGUGGCCAGCCUGGAAAAGUUGAUGUCCAGACUUUGACAGAGAGUGACGUAAAAGCAGUGAGUCACCAGCUACAUUGC